AUCCUGCUCUGGCAGUUAUUUAAACAGAAGCCUCCAGGAGACAUACAAUCAACACUCCACUCAGACAAUGCCCAGACCUCCAGAAAUCAUGUGUCAAGCUUGGAUUGCCUUAGACAGGUGCUGUUGAUGAAACUGCCAAAGGAGCUGAAUAUGACUGACAUCUUUGGAAGGAUGAGACUUAGCGUGCCCGUACAGUUGUGUCCAAAUGCUGUCCUUAUCUCCCAAUGGAAAGGUCCCCAGGUUCUGCCUCCAUCCUGACGUCCAGUGUUGGAUUCCUCUUCACAUCAACUCCUCUCUGCAGGUUGAGCCAUCAGACCUUACCUCCUUAUUUAUGUUGAGCAAAGGAGAGAGAAUGCCUCUACAGACAACGAAAAAAGUGAAAAAAAAAAAUCCUUCUCC
rnacentral:lncRNA from 1 species